rnacentral:miRNA from 1 species
GAAGUGUGCCAUGGGGUGUCU